rnacentral:rRNA from 1 species
GAUGAACGCUGGCGGCGUGCCUAAUACAUGCAAGUCGAGCGAACGGACGAGAAGCUUGCUUCUCUGAUGUUAGCGGCGGACGGGUGAGUAACACGUGGAUAACCUACCUAUAAGACUGGGAUAACUUCGGGAAACCGGAGCUAAUGCCGGAUCAUAUUUUGAACCGCAUGGUUCAAAAGUGAAAGACGGUCUUGCUGUCACUUAUAGAUGGAUCCGCGCUGCAUUAGCUAGUUGGUAAGGUAACGGCUUACCAAGGCAACGAUGCAUAGCCGACCUGAGAGGGUGAUCGGCCACACUGGAACUGAGACACGGUCCAGACUCCUACGGGAGGCAGCAGUAGGGAAUCUUCCGCAAUGGGCGAAAGCCUGACGGAGCAACGCCGCGUGAGUGAUGAAGGUCUUCGGAUCGUAAAACUCUGUUAUUAGGGAAGAACAUAUGUGUAAGUAACUGUGCACAUCUUGACGGUACCUAAUCAGAAAGCCACGGCUAACUACGUG